rnacentral:rRNA from 1 species
GGCCAGACUCCUACGGGAGGCAGCAGUGGGGAAUAUUGCACAAUGGGGGGAACCCUGAUGCAGCGACGCCGCGUGAGUGAAGAAGUAUUUCGGUAUGUAAAGCUCUAUCAGCAGGGACGAAGAUGACGGUACCUGCAGAAGAAGCCCCGGCUAACUACGUGCCAGCAGCCGCGGUAAUACGUAGGGGGCGAGCGUUAUCCGGAUUCACUGGGUGUAAAGGGAGCGUAGACGGCCAAGCAAGCCAGGGGUGAAAGCCCGGGGCCCAACCCCGGGACUGCCCUUGGAACUGCUUGGCUGGAGUGCGGGAGGGGCAGGCGGAAUUCCUGGUGUAGCGGUGAAAUGCGUAGAUAUCAGGAGGAACACCGGCGGCGAAGGCGGCCUGCUGGACCGCUACUGACGUUGAGGCUCGAAAGCGUGGGGAGCGAACAGGAUUAGAUACCCCCGUAC